UGCCUAGCCAUGAACCACCAUGAGGGGA
rnacentral:piRNA from 1 species